AAUAUUAAUAAAUGGUCAUCCAAUAGAAAAUCAGUAAUGUCAGAUAUUUGAACUGUUUUAAUAUCAGGACUUGUUUAUUCACAGUUGCCCCCCUCUCCUGUUUGUUUUCCCUAUGUGUCUGACAGAUGUAUAUUAGGACCAGCAGGAGCCAGACCCACAACAAAAGUUAACGAUGUAGGAUCUUCCAGGACAUUUAUGGAGGUGAUCGAAGGGAGAACAGAAAUGUGUAAAUAUAAAGGAAAAAAAAUGUUUAUUGAGUUCACCUGGAGUACAGGUACUUUGUGAGUUCAGAAAGCCAGGUCCUUGACACUGACCUUUUUGCUCAGAAAAAUAAAAAUACACUUCUUAGCAAAUUACACGACUAAACACUAUGUAGAGACGGAACCAGGUAUUCGCAGGUAUUUAUUCCUGGCUGUGUCCUCUAUUCUGGUUGCAUAAGUAGUUGUACCCAAUAAAUGAGUAAGUCACAUGAACACUGUAUCAAAAUGGACACUGUAUUAAAAUGCACGGAUGUUUAUUAAAAUUCAUAUUUUCAUUCUA